GGCUCAGGACGAACGCUGGCGGCGUGCCUAAUACAUGCAAGUCGAGCGAAUGAUAAGGAGCUUGCUCCUUGAUUAGCGGCGGACGGGUGAGUAACACGUGGGUAACCUACCCUAUAGACUGGGAUAACUUCGGGAAACCGGAGCUAAUACCGGAUAAUACUUCGAAACACAUGUUUUGAAGUUGAAAGAUGGUUUCGGCUAUCACUAUAGGAUGGACCCGCGGCGCAUUAGCUAGUUGGUGGGGUAAUGGCUCACCAAGGCAACGAUGCGUAGCCGACCUGAGAGGGUGAUCGGCCACACUGGGACUGAGACACGGCCCAGACUCCUACGGGAGGCAGCAGUAGGGAAUCUUCCACAAUGGACGAAAGUCUGAUGGAGCAACGCCGCGUGAGUGAAGAAGGAUUUCGGUUCGUAAAACUCUGUUGCAAGGGAAGAACAAGUAGCGUAGUAACUGGCGCUACCUUGACGGUACCUUGUUAGAAAGCCACGGCUAACUACGUGCCAGCCGCCGC
rnacentral:rRNA from 1 species